UACGGAGGGGGCGAGCGUUAUUCGGAAUUAUUGGGCGUAAAGGGCGCGUAGGCGGCUUGACAAGUCAAAGGUGAAAUCCCUCGGCUCAACUGAGGAACUGCCUUUGAAACUGUCUGGCUUGAGGCCGGGAGGGGGUAGCGGAAUUCCCAGUGUAGCGGUGAAAUGCGUAGAUAUUGGGAGGAACACCAGUGGCGAAGGCGGCUACCUGGACCGGUUCUGACGCUGAUGCGCGAAAGCGUGGGGAGCAAACAGG
rnacentral:rRNA from 1 species